rnacentral:lncRNA from 1 species
GGCUCCCCUUGUGAAGCUGGAGGACCAUGAGUACAAGCCUCUGGACCCCAAAGACAUCCGCCUGCCACCCCCCAUGCCUCCCAGUGAGAGGCUACUUGCAGCUGUGGAAGCCUUCUACAGCCCACCCUCCCAUGACAGACCAAGGAACAGGUAGGGAAGUUGGUGCCCCAAGGCCUGGCUGAGCCCCCACCCACUAAGUCUGUCCGGCAGAUGAGGACUUCUUCCUCUGCACACUGCAUUGGGCCUGGAGUGAUGGCCUUGUAGCAUCCAGCCUCGGCCCAGCCUGCCACAGCAGACACUAAGAACAGCAAUGGGCAUGAUAGGAGGUCUCCUGGGAUUUGGGGGGAGGGCUGGAGACCCAGCAGAACCCCAGCUACCUCUUGGUUAGCUUCCUAGUGCAAGGGACCCCCUUCCUGGCCACUGUGGUCCUUGGGGGCUGACGCAAGCCUCUCAUGGGGACCAUGUCAUGCAGCGAGGGCUGGGAGCAGAAUGGCCUCUAUGAAUUCUUUCGAGCUAAGAUGCGGGCACGGCGGCGCAAGGGCCAGGAGAAGAGGAACAGUGGCCCCUCCAGGUCACACAGCCGGUCCAAGAGCCGAGGCCGUUCCUCAUCUCGCUCCAGCUCACGAUCCUCCAAGUCCUCAAGGUCCUCCUCCCGCUCACGAUCCCGGUCUCGGUCCCGCUCUUCCUCCCGCUC